rnacentral:tRNA from 1 species
GGUUCUAUAGCUCAGCGGGAGAGCACUCGCCUCACACGCGAGGGGUCGCUGGUUCGAACCCAGCUAGAACCACCA